rnacentral:tRNA from 1 species
UGGCUCAGAGGUUAAGAGUGCUGGACUGCUCUUCCAGAGGUCCUGAGUUCAAGUCCCAG